GAAAGGCUUCAUCCAGUAACUGAUGGAAACAGAUGCAGACUCAUAGCCAAACAUUAGAUUCCAGAAUCCAGAUCCUAACAAAGGUGAAGUCUCAAUAAAAUCUAUUAUUGCUACUUCCAUCAUCAUCUAGUAGGUUCCACAGUCUUUGGACUCUGCUAGCAAGGAAAUCAUUACCAUAGGGCUUAUGCCUUGUGCCUCUAGAACUGUGAGCC